GAUCUAUAGAACCACGGGAAGUCACCAUCACCACCAUCUCCAUCAUUUUCUUAAUUUCUUAACCAUGGUAGCAAACUAGACAUGCAGCCCCGUUUUCCACUUUAACCAUAGCCUCUGCUCACUUCAAUUUUGAAGAUUUCUGUGAUGAAUCAAAGCUCCUAAUACUUCAAUCUUCUUCAUUUCGGCAAGCAAGAACAUUUAGAUUAUGGAAGAGAAAGCCAACGUCUUGAAGCCAGAAACCAUCGACUUUCCAAUCUUCUUUUCUAGAAAAUUCUGCCGAGGAUCACACCAUUAUUU